GCCUGGGUGGCUCAGUCGGUUGGGCAGUUGACUUCAGCUCAGGUCAUGAUCUCAUGGUUUGUAGGUUGUGGGUUCGAGCCCCACCUUGGGCU
rnacentral:tRNA from 1 species